UACACAUGGCACAUAUGUGUGUACAUGCAUCUGGAAGCCAAGACUCAAUGGGCUCCUUCAUUGCUCUCGUCUGAGUAUUUUUAAAACAAACUCUGUCACGGAACCAGUGUAAAACUGCCUUGUCCACAAGCCCCUGGAAUCCACGCGUCUCUGCUUCCCCAGCCCUAGAAUCACAGGAGAACACCACUGCAGCCAGCUGGUUAGAGGUGGGUACUUGGGAUUUGAACUCAGGUCCCCACGCUUGCAUAGUAAACACUAACGAUUAAGCCAUCUCUCCAGCCUCAUCCCUCACUCUUCCACAGCAGAAUAAUUUCUGUUAACUUUGUUUAUUUCCACAGAUUUUUCUUAUCGUUGAUUCUUAAUUGAAUAUUCUUUUGUUUCUUUAAUUAAUAAAUUGAAAGACAUCAAAAGUCAAGAAUUGUUUUAUAUAUCCAUUCCAAAAUGUUGCCAAUUUCAAUAAGAUUCAAUUAAAGUAGCAUAUUUUAGCUUUAUUAACUUUUUGAAGUGAACUUUUUGUAUCUUGUGUCAGUAUUUGAAAUUUUCUUCUAAGUCUUAAAAGUACUGUAUAGACUGUUGCUAUCUAGAAUCAGAAGCUGUGGCAUACUGCAACUGUUUCCAUAGUUCCUGGAGGCUACUUUGUAUCCAUCUUGUUCAUCAAACCCUCAGCUCCUGCUUCACCGUAAGGUGAGUCACCAACGGAUGAGAGGCGGACUUUAAGAGAGAGACAUUGGAGGCCUCCUAUUUCCAAUCUUCCUUAGCCGCCCAAACGAGCAAAGGAGAGAAUGGCUGAAAUCCUUUGAACUCUUCAAGAUCCUGUUCUCAAUGUCUACAAGGGUUCUACCAAGCCCCACCUCUUAAAGCUUCCACCAGAAGCUGAAGGCCAAGCCUU
rnacentral:lncRNA from 1 species